CCUACGGGAGGCAGCAGUGGGGAAUAUUGCACAAUGGGGGAAACCCUGAUGCAGCGACGCCGCGUGAGUGAAGAAGUAAUUCGUUAUGUACAGCUCUAUCAGCAGGGAAGAAAAUGACGGUACCUGAGUAAGAAGCCCCGGCUAACUACGUGCCAGCAGCCGCGGUAAUACGUAGGGGGCAAGCGUUAUCCGGAUUUACUGGGGGUAAAGGGAGCGUAGACGGCAGUGCAAGUCUGGAGUGAAAUGCGGGGGCUCAACCCCCGGACUGCUCUGGAAACUGUACGGCUGGAGUGCAGGAGAGGUAAGUGGAAUUCCUAGUGUAGCGGUGAAAUGCGGAGAUAUUAGGAGGAACACCAGUGGCGAAGGCGGCUUACUGGACUGUAACUGACGUUGAGGCUCGAAAGCGUGGGGAGCAAACAGGAUUAGAUACCCGGGUAGUC
rnacentral:rRNA from 1 species